GUGCUCACUUUGGCAGCACUUAGAUGAAAAUUAAAACAAUACAGAAAAAAUUAGUGUGGCCCUCUACAAGAUCGAGAUGCAAAUUUGUGAAACAUUUGAUAUUUUA
ensembl:snRNA U6 U6 spliceosomal RNA